rnacentral:rRNA from 1 species
AACGAACGCUGGCGGCAGGCUUAACACAUGCAAGUCGAACGCCCCGCAAGGGGAGUGGCAGACGGGUGAGUAACGCGUGGGAAUCUACCGUACCCUACGGAAUAACGCAUGGAAACGUGUGCUAAUACCGUAUACGCCCUUAGGGGGAAAGAUUUAUCGGGGUAUGAUGAGCCCGCGUUGGAUUAGCUAGCUGGUGGGGUAAAGGCCUACCAAGGCGACGAUCCAUAGCUGGUCUGAGAGGAUGAUCAGCCACAUUGGGACUGAGACACGGCCCAAACUCCUACGGGAGGCAGCAGUGGGGAAUAUUGGACAAUGGGCGCAAGCCUGAUCCAGCCAUGCCGCGUGAGUGAUGAAGGUCUUAGGAUUGUAAAGCUCUUUCACCGAUGAAGAUAAUGACGGUAGUCGGAGAAGAAGCCCCGGCUAACUUCGUGCCAGCCGCCGCCGUAACAC